AUUGAACGCUGGCGGCAUGCUUUACACAUGCAAGUCGAACGGCAGCGCGGGCUUCGGCCUGGCGGCGAGUGGCGAACGGGUGAGUAAUGCAUCGGAACGUGCCCAGUAGUGGGGGAUAGCCCGGCGAAAGCCGGAUUAAUACCGCAUACGACCUGAGGGUGAAAGCGGGGGACCGAAAGGCCUCGCGCUAUUGGAGCGGCCGAGGUCGGAUUAGCUAGUUGGUGGGGUAAAGGCUUACCAAGGCGACGAUCCGUAGCUGGUCUGAGAGGACGACCGGCCACACUGGGACUGAGACACGGCCCAGACUCCUACGGGAGGCAGCAGUGGGGAAUUUUGGACAAUGGGGGCAACCCUGAUCCAGCCAUGCCGCGUGCGGGAAGAAGGCCUUCGGGUUGUAAACCGCUUUUGUUCGGGAAGAAAUCCUCUGGGCUAAUACCCCGGGGGGAUGACGGUACCGGAAGAAUAAGCACCGGCUAACUACGUG
rnacentral:rRNA from 1 species